rnacentral:sRNA from 1 species
GAUUAAUUGGAAUUCUUCAAAAUGUCAGAUGUGGUACCCACAGCCCCUGAACAGCCUGCAGGUGAAAUGGAAAAUCAAACAAAACCACCAGAUCCAAGGCCUGAUGCUCCUCCUGAAUACAAUUCUCAUUUUUUACCAGGACCCCCUGGAACAGCUGUCCCUCCACCUACUGGCUACCCAGGAGGCUUGCCUAUGGGAUACUACAGUCCACAGCAACCCAGUACCUUCCCUUUGUACCAGCCAGUUGGUGGUACCCAUCCUGUCCGGUAUCAGCCUGGCAAAUAUCCUGUGCCAAAUCAGUCUGUUCCAAUAACAUGGAUGCCAGGGCCAACUCCUAUGGCAAACUGCCCUCCUGGUCUGGAAUACUUAGUUCAGUUGGACAACAUACAUGUUCUUCAGCAUUUUGAGCCUCUGGAAACUGGAAGUGCAGUGUCCUCCUGGUGUCACCAUUGGCUUUGUUGCGGAACAUUGGAACCUGUGCAGGGCGGUGUACAGCAUCCAAAAUGAGAAGAAAGAAAAUGUGAUGAGAGUUCGUGGGCCAUGCUCAACCUAUGGCUGUGGUUCAGAUUCUGUUUUUGAGGUGAAACUAUGUAAAAAUAGUGUUUCUGAUAUUUUUCCUACUCAUAUUAACAGACCAUGGAAAGAUCUGGUUGUAGACAUUUUUUUUUAAUGCGAAUGUAUAAGAUAGUAUGAGGAAAGUGUUAAUUAACCAGUUGACAUCAAAAGAUUUUAAAGUUAUUGUGAGUAGAUUGAGGUUUUCCAAAAUGAAAGCUUUUUUUAUGACUUCAGUGCUUGAUAAAAAUAAAA